rnacentral:lncRNA from 1 species
UAGAUUUUUAAUUAUUGGCCUAGUUUUCAAGUUGGUCCAAAUCAGGAUUCCAUAUCAAGUAUUGUGCAAUAGCAAGAAAUUUUCAAUUGCACAGUAUUGCACAAUAGCAAGAAAUAUCUAAUUGCACAAUAUUGUGCAAUAGCAAUUAAUUUUCAAUUGGAGUUAUCUUUCUUUGUAUAGAAUAGUAGUUGAUAAUAUAUGUUGGAAAUUUGCCAG